ensembl:lncRNA
CCAUAGCGGCCCUAUAGCCCUAUUUGGAUGUUGGGGCUCAGGCAGGGGGCCAGCAUCAUACAGAGCUGCAUGGCCGCCCUAUGGCACCUGUGGGCCUCGCUAUGGGGCUGGGCUAUGGGGCAGAGCUCCCCUAUCACCCCACCCCACAGCCCCCUCCGGCCCCACAUCGACCCAUGGGAUGAAGAAGAGGAAGAGGAGGAGGACGAGGCACCGUGGGGCCACAGCCCCCAUUGGAGCCCCACAACCUUCGGCCCCAUAGACACCCCACGGCAUCGCGGGAAGCCAUUGAGGUGA